rnacentral:rRNA from 1 species
UACGGAGGGUGCAAGCGUUAUCCGGAUUCACUGGGUUUAAAGGGUGCGUAGGUGGGUUGGUAAGUCAGUGGUGAAAUCUCCGAGCUUAACUUGGAAACUGCCAUUGAUACUAUCAGUCUUGAAUAUUGUGGAGGUCAGCGGAAUAUGUCAUGUAGCGGUGAAAUGCUUAGAUAUGACAUAGAACACCAAUUGCGAAGGCAGCUUACUACGGAUAUAUUGACACUGAGGCACGAAAGCGUGGGGAUCAAACAGG